GGCUAAGUGAGACUGGGGUGCGGACUGAAAAUCCGCGUGUCGGGGGUUCAAUUCCCUCCCUGGCCACCA
rnacentral:tRNA from 1 species